rnacentral:rRNA from 1 species
ACGCACGCUGGCGGCCGGCUUCACCCAUGCAAGUCGCACGCCCCGCAAGGGGAGUGGCCGACGGGUGAGUAACGCGUGGGAACAUACCCUUUUCUACGGAAUAGCUCUGGGAAACUGGAAUUAAUACCGUAUACGCCCUACGGGGGAAAGAUUUAUCGGGGAAGGAUUGGCCCGCGUUGGAUUAGCUAGUUGGUGGGGUAAAGGCCUACCAAGGCGACGAUCCAUAGCUGGUCUGAGAGGAUGAUCAGCCACAUUGGGACUGAGACACGGCCCAAACUCCUACGGGAGGCAGCAGUGGGGAAUAUUGGACAAUGGGCGCAAGCCUGAUCCAGCCAUGCCGCGUGAGUGAUGAAGGCCUUAGGGUUGUAAAGCUCUUUCACCGAUGAAGAUAAUGACGGUAGUCGGAGAAGAAGCCCCGGCUAACUUCGUG